CUGACCUGUAUGGUGAUCAGACCCGGAGAGGAGACACACCUGGUCCAACCAGCUGAUGGACGGUUGAAAGGACGAAUCACAGAGACGAACAAGACGAGACAAACGAUGGAGACGAGCCGCCACAGGAGCCCGAAGGUAAAGUGACGAGAGCAGCCAGGAGCUGGAAGUGUGACAGAGGAACAGGCUGCUGAGGACCAGCUGGACGACGGCUUCCUGAACUGAAUCCUGAUUUCCUGUCAUCAAGUUCUGUGGAGUGACAUGUCGUCUGGUUGGACUCGCUGUUGUUCUGUCAUCGUUCCUGAUCCACAUCAGUUCAUUCAGAAUCUGUCGCUCACAAUGG